CUUCAAAUACAUGUGAUUUUUAUCCCAUCUGUGAGGUGCCUGUGCGUCUCAUUCUCGGGGAUACCACUUCCAACUAAGAGACACUUAAGGGGUUAAUUCCCUAAACUGGGAAUUGUAGAGAACUGACGAGCAAUGUAAGUUUUAGGUAAAAAAAAAUAUUGAACAAUCUCAAACUCUGUUAUUUUCCCGCCUUGGUUAUUUGUUGUUCUGUUAUUUCCCUGUCAAGUCUUCCCAAUUCUUAGUUUCAAAAAUACAGCCUGGGUUACACUUUGACUUUGCCUCCUGAUGGCGUGAUUGACGGGGAGUGUUGCCAUGUGCCGCUCUGCCGGUAAUAUUACACAGGAUAUUUACUAACCAUAAUUCCUGUAUUAAUAUAUCAUCAAUGAAAGUUGGACGGGUUAUUUUUACUAACCACGUUGG